rnacentral:rRNA from 1 species
GAUGAACGCUGGCGGCGUGCCUAAUACAUGCAAGUCGAGCGAACGGACGAUAAGCUUGCGUCUCUGAUGUUAGCGGCGGACGGGUGAGUCACACGUGGAUCCCCCCCCUAUCAGACUGGGAUCAUUUCGGGACUCCGGCUCUAAUCCCGUAUAAUAUUUUGAACCGCAUGGUUCAAUGGUGAAAGACGGUCUUUGUGGCACUUCUCGCUGGAUCCGCGCUGCAUUAGCUAGUUGGUAAGGUAACGGGCUACCAAGGCAACGAUGCAUAGCCGACCUGAGAGACGGGUCGGCCACACUGGAACUGAGACACGGUCCAGACUCCUACGGGAGGCCGCAGUAGGGAAUGGUACGCAGUGGGCGAAAGCCUGACGGAGCAACGCCGCGUGAGUGAUGAAGGCCUUCGGAUCGUAAAACUCUGUUAUUAGGGAAGAACAGAUGUGUACGGAACUGUGCAGAGCGUGACGGUACCGAAUCAGAAAGCCACGGCUAACUACGUG